rnacentral:rRNA from 1 species
UACGUAGGGGGCUAGCGUUGUCCGGAAUCAUUGGGCGUAAAGCGCGUGUAGGCGGUUCGGUAAGUCCGCUGUGAAAGUCGGGGGCUCAACCCUCGAAAGCCGGUGGAUACUGUCGGACUAGAGUGCGGAAGAGGCGAGUGGAAUUCCUGGUGUAGCGGUGAAAUGCGUAGAUAUCUGGAGGAACACCGGUGGCGAAGGCGGCAUCCUGGACCGGUAUUGACGCUGAUGCGCGAAAGCCAGGGGAGCAAACGGG